AACUUCUCUGUAAAUGUUGGCGAAGCAUUGUGGUUGUAGAUGGAGACUUAAAAAAGAAAAAGCCCUAAAGAACUCCUAAUGAAUGUAAUAUAGUGUACAAGGUAAGAUGUGCUAGUGCCAAACUUGAUAUUGCUAUAUUCUCAAUCGUAGUAAGGAUGUUUAACAGAGGUGGUAAUAACACAUUAAACAAUAGAAAAGUUCUCUACUUGAAAUUUGACUAAGCUGCUGCAAAUUUAUAGAUCCACACAGUUGACCAAUAAUUAAGAAAAUCAACACAAGCUGAAAAGCUGCAUAGAAUUGCAGAAUGGGUUGUGCCCAUAUCAUAUCACUAACAUACUGUGUACCCAAAUAUAUUCCUUGAUAUGGCUGAAAGUGUUUUGUAGUUAUAAGUUCCUGCAUUGAAUUGAAUAUUUUUGUUGUUUUGCAAAUG